UCGAUUAGAGUUUGAUCCUGGCUCAGAAUGAACGUUGGCGGCAUGGCUAAAGCAUGCAAGUCGCACGUGCCCCGCAAGGGGAAAGUGGCGGACGGGUCAGUAACAGGAUCGAACGUACCCCGAGGUGGGGGAUAGCGGUGGGAAACUGCCGGUAAUACCUCAUGAUCUCUCCGGAGCAAAGCCUCGGCGCCUCGGGAUCGGCGAUCUUCCUAUCAGGUCGUUGGCGGGGUAAUGGCCCACCAAGCCGAAGACGGGUAGCGGGUGUGAGAGCACGACCCGCGACAUCGGGACUGAGACACUGCCCGGACUCCUACGGGAGGCUGCAGCAACGAAUCUUCCGCAAUGGGCGCAAGCCUGACGGAGCAAUGCCGCGUGCGGGAUGAAGCGUCUUGACGUGUAAACCGCUGUCAGGGGGUCGAACCAAUGAUUGCCCCCAGAGGAAGUGGCGACUAACUCUGUGCCAGCAGUCGCGGUAAUACAGAGGCCACGAACAUUAUUCGGAAUCACUGGGCUUAAAGGGUGCGUAGGCGGGCCGCCAAGUGUUCUGUGAAAGCCCCGGGCUCAACCCGGGAACGGCAGGGCAUACUGGCGGUCUUGAGGGAUCUAGGGGCAGACAGAACAGUCGGUGGAGCGGUGAAAUGCGUAGAGAUCGACUGGAAUGCCGAUGGCGAAGGCGGUCUGCUGGGGAUCAUCUGACGCUGAGGCACGAAAGCGUGGGGAGCAAACAGGAUUAGAUACCCUGGUAGUCCACGCCGUAAACGAUGCGCACUAAAUCGGUGCCGGUCUGACCCGGUAUCGGUCGACGUGAAAACGAUAAGUGCGCCGCCUGGGGAGUACGGUCGCAAGGCUAAAACUCAAAUGAAUUGACGGGGGCUCACACAAGCGGUGGAGCAUGUGGCUUAAUUCGAGGCAACGCGAAGAACCUUACCUGGGUUUGACAUGCACGGAUUAACCGGUGGAAACAUCGGCCACGCUCGCAAGAGUGGAACGUGCACAGGUGCUGCAUGGCUGUCGUCAGCUCGUGCUGUGAAGUGUCGGGUUAAGUCCCUUAACGAGCGCAACCCCUAUCGUUAGUUGCCCACGGUUCGGCCGGGUACUCUAGCGAGACUGCCGGCGUUAAGCCGGAGGAAGGUGGGGAUGACGUCAAGUCCUCAUGGCCCUUACAUCCAGGGCUGCACACGUGCUACAAUGGCGCUGACAGAGCGACGCAAUGCCGCGAGGCGGAGCAAAUCGCAAAAAAGGCGCCCCAGUUCGGAUUGCAGGCUGCAAUUCGCCUGCAUGAAGUCGGAAUCGCUAGUAAUCGGAGAUCAGCUACGCUCCGGUGAAUGUGUUCCUGAGCCUUGUACACACCGCCCGUCACGUCAUGGGAGCCGAGGGUGCCCGAAGCCGCCACGAUUCAGUGGUGUCCACGGCAAGAUCGGUGACUGGGACGAAGUCGUAACAAGGUAGCCGUAGGAGAACCUGCGGCUGGAUCACCUCCUUAAUCGA
rnacentral:rRNA from 1 species